AGGAAACUACCAUAAUUGGUAAUAUGGGUUGAGCUGUAAACUCAAUAGCAUUAAGCUUUUAAGAGUUCGAAUCUCUUGUUUCCUA
rnacentral:tRNA from 1 species